UUCAUCUCCAAACUGCUUAAUCUUUCAUUUAGGAUUGUAAGUGUGCAUCUUUAAAGCCUGUGCCUUCACUCCUCACUAGUUGAUUGGCUACCUAUUGGGGAGUAAAACUCCUGAAACUUUGUCCUGAAGAAACAUCUGCUGACAUUGUGAAUGAGACAUUCUGAGUGAGAACAGAGAAUCAUUCUUGGUGAAAAUGCAAGGACAACAGAACCAACUAAAUGGGAAUAGGUUUACCUUAGGCAGAGGUUUGGCAGGUCUGCAGUGGAGUCCUCCAACGAAAUCAACAUUUGGUAGGGUUGGGCGAGGAAAUUCCAAAUCCCAAUAGGUUCUAAUGAGCCAGAUAUCUGCUUUUGACAUUGUCUCUAGUAAUGUAGUGGGUCGUCCUGAACAGGAAAAGGAAUACAAAAGCUAUAGGACAUUAGAAAGUUAUCAUGUGGAAAUGAAUAUGUCUGGUAAGUAUCUGAAAAAGCUUUUAAUAAUGAAGCCAAACAUGUUUAAGAGUUUCUGUGAUUUAAUAAAGCUAAUGUGUGUAUGCAUAUGUGCAUAUAUAAAAAACAUAUAUGUUGCUCAUAUUUAUGUGGACAUACUUGAAAGACACAAUGUGAGAGAUGAAUUAAGUGACAAAAUAUUUGAAUUUAUAAAUGUGGAAACUAAUCUACAGAUACAUAGCUGAUUUACUCAAAGCUACAUAGAUAAUUGUUCUAGAAAUAUUUGUAGGAGUCAUCAAACUACAUUCUAGACUCAUGAAGACAUUGAGUAACAUUAAAAAUUAUUGCUUUUGAAAAUGAAAUAAAUGGAUACUAAAAGGAUAAAUGUGUGUGACUUCCUAGGGAAGUCCUCAGUGGCUUAUUUUGUGUGUGUGACUUCCUGCUGUAUCCAAACAUUUCAAACUAACUUUACAACUGAAGCUUUUCCAUAGUGUUUUGAGUAUGAUGUAUUAUUGUGAUAAAAUAUUUUUUAUUUUAUCACCACACAUUUAAAAGAUCAACUUCUCUGACUUCAUACUCCUGCAGGCUCACCCUCAGAGACAUGACUAAUUUUGGAAUUUUCAUGCCAUUAGAAAAUAGGCUUACCUAAAAUUUCACUGUAAAACUGAUUCCACUUCUUCUCAUCAAAUGUUUGGAACCAAAAAUCAAAAUACAGCACAUACAGCAUAUUUUUUAUCCGCUCCAUGAAAGUCAUUUGAUCACUUAAUUCUGACAUAAGAAUAGGCACAUAGGAAGGAGGGAAUGAAAGUCCUGCAC